rnacentral:rRNA from 1 species
GAUCGGCCACACUGGGACUGAGACCCGGCCCAGACUCCUACGGGAGGCAGCAGUAGGGAAUCUUCCGCAAUGGACGAAAGUCUGACGGAGCAACGCCGCGUGAGUGAUGAAGGUUUUCGGAUCGUAAAGCUCUGUUGUUAGGGAAGAACAAGUACCGUUUGAAUAGGGCGGUACCUUGACGGUACCUAACCAGAAAGCCACGGCUAACUACGUGCCAGCAGCCGCGGUAAUACGUAGGUGGCAAGCGUUGUCCGGAAUUAUUGGGCGUAAAGGGCUCGCAGGCGGUUUCUUAAGUCUGAUGUGAAAGCCCCCGGCUCAACCGGGGAGGGUCAUUGGAAACUGGGGAACUUGAGUGCAGAAGAGGAGAGUGGAAUUCCACGUGUAGCGGUGAAAUGCGUAGAGAUGUGGAGGAACACCAGUGGCGAAGGCGACUCUCUGGUCUGUAACUGACGCUGAGGAGCGAAAGCGUGGGGAGCGAACAGGAUUAGAUACCCUGGUAGUCCACGCCGUAAACGAUGAGUGCUAAGUGUUAGGGGGUUUCCGCCCCUUAGUGCUGCAGCUAACGCAUUAAGCACUCCGCCUGGGGAGUACGGUCGCAAGACUGAAACUCAAAGGAAUUGACGGGGGCCCGCACAAGCGGUGGAGCAUGUGGUUUAAUUCGAAGCAACGCGAAGAACCUUACCAGGUCUUGACAUCCUCUGACAAUCCUAGAGAUAGGACGUCCCCUUCGGGGGCAGAGUGACAGGUGGUGCAUGGUUGUCGUCAGCUCGUGUCGUGAGAUGUUGGGUUAAGUCCCGCAACGAGCGCAACCCUUGAUCUUAGUUGCCAGCAUUCAGUUGGGCACUCUAAGGUGACUGCCGGUGACAAACCGGAGGAAGGUGGGGAUGACGUCAAAUCAUCAUGCCCCUUAUGACCUGGGCUACACACGUGCUACAAUGGACAGAACAAAGGGCAGCGAAACCGCGAGGUUAAGCCAAUCCCACAAAUCUGUUCUCAGUUCGGAUCGCAGUCUGCAACUCGACUGCGUGAAGCUGGAAUCGCUAGUAAUCGCGGAUCAGCAUGCCGCGGUGAAUACGUUCCCGGGCCUUGUACACACCGCCCGUCACACCACGAGAGUUUGUAACACCCGAAGUCGGUGAGGUAACCU